AUGUGCCAGCGGCUGUCAGAAAAGAGUUUGGAGAGUAAAAGUGGUGAAGAUGGUGUUGCUAUUACACUACUAUGCAAGCAGAAGGCUAUUCAACAGGAAGACGCAUACAUAUUCAUGUGUACACAACUACAAGCCUAUACUUUUCAGAAGAGCUUGGCACCCAGUACAGUGUUGAGCACAUAUUCUAUACUAAAUAUUGUUUGAAUUGAAAUGAGUUUUUUUGUGUUUGUUUCCAUGCAUCAGAGAUUUUAUAAGCAAAAAACAAAGAAGAAAACCUCUGUGCCUUUUUACACUUUAUGCUUUUGAUACGAAACUUGGAUGGUCAGAGCAUAUUAAGCUAAAAUUCUCCUUAUAAUCCUUUGAGUCAUUAUAUUAUUUUUGUUUUGAAGAAACAUAUGCUUAUUUUUCAUUCAUAUUCUAAUUAACACGGCUUGGAAGUGUAUGGUCACAGUGCUUCUGCUGCUUCUUCUCCUCUCCUUUUCUUUUAGUUUCCACAUGAGAAAGAGGAUCUUCAUCCCAACCAUGAUUACUGUGAUUCUGUCCCUGGUUAGCUACACAUUAUAUUCCAAGCCCAGGCCCUGCCUUUUUUCAAUAUUUUCUUAAAUACAGCACCAACACUGUAACCAAGUAGCCCAUAUUCUCCAUGUUUUCCCGAGUUAUUGUCCAAGAUCUAGACUAGAUAACUGUUAAGAAAGUCACCUGUAGAGUCCCUCUGAGUGGUCUCCGGUUUAGCUUUAGGUUUAGAGAUCUCAGGUUUAGCUUUUGGAAGCUGAAAUGAAACUGCAGCAAGUAGGUGAUUAGAAUGACUGACCUCAGGUAAAGUUGCAAAGCAAGCGACAUUCUGCAACUUUUCUUCCUUUCUAUUCAUGAUUAAGUACCAUGUAAAAACAACAAGUAUUAUGUAUAUAAUGAAUAUACGUCUGAUAACACUGCAAAACUAAACCUUUAUGCUCAUCCUACAUUUUUUCUCAUGGAGCAUAGCUAUCCUCGAGAAAGUUUUAAAAAUUAGGAAAAAGAUUGUUCUUUAAUAGAAUUGUUUGACAACACACUGCAAUGGGCAACUAACUGCCUCUCCUCAUGCCCCAACGUUACAUUCCCUCCCCACUUGCUAUAUUCUUAGGUCUCUUUCUGCAAGACCCCUUCAAAAAACUGCUCAAGGGAGGCAUGGCCUUAGUCACAUUUUUCUAUCAUCAACUCUCCUCUUAUAAGAUCCAUUGAUGUGCAGGAUAUGCUGAAUUCAUUAUGAAGAAUGUGCCAAACCCAUUCAUUACAAUUAGAGAAAUUUCGGGGCAUAUAUUAUAUUCAGGCUAAAUAAAUCACUAUUACAGCUUCUAUUUAGAUUUAGU
rnacentral:lncRNA from 1 species